rnacentral:rRNA from 1 species
GACGAACGCUGGCGGCGUGCUUAACACAUGCAAGUCGAACGGAAAGGCCCUGCUUUUGUGGGGUGCUCGAGUGGCGAACGGGUGAGUAACACGUGAGUAACCUGCCCUUGACUUUGGGAUAACUUCAGGUAACUGGGGUUAAUACCGGGUAGGAGCUCCUGCUGCAUGGUGGGGGUUGGAAAGUUUCGGCGGUUGGGGAUGGACUCGCGGCUUAUCAGCUUGUUGGUGGGGUAGUGGCUUACCAAGGCUUUGACGGGUAGCCGGCCUGAGAGGGUGACCGGCCACAUUGGGACUGAGAUACGGCCCAGACUCCUACGGGAGGCAGCAGUGGGGAAUAUUGCACAAUGGGCGGAAGCCUGAUGCAGCAACGCCGCGUGCGGGAUGACGGCCUUCGGGUUGUAAACCGCUUUCGGCUGUGACGAAGCGUGAGUGACGGUAAUGGGUGAAGAAGCACCGGCUAACUACGUG